ACCCAGCUGGCUCAGUCCGUGGAGCAUGUGACUCUUAAUCUCGGGGUCAUGAGUUCAAGCCCCAUAUUGGGUG
rnacentral:tRNA from 1 species